CUUCAGCGACCCCAGCCAGAGCGGAUCCCCGUCGCGGUCGCGGCCGUACGUGGCCAGCAGCGCCUGCGCCUC
rnacentral:antisense_RNA from 1 species